rnacentral:rRNA from 1 species
AGCUAUAUGUAUUAAUAUAUAGUUAUUUCUGCUCAAUGAAUGUUAAAUAGCCGCAGUACCCUGACUGUGCAAAGGUAGCAUAAUCAGUUGGCUUAUAAUUGAAGUCUGGUAUGAAUGAAAAUAUGGGUAGAAGCUGUCUUAUUAUAUUUUUGUUAACUUGUUAAGCAAGUGAAAAUACUUGCAAUUAUAAAAAAGACGAGAAGACCCUAGAAACUUGGAAUAUUUUUUGUUGGGGCGACAUGAUUACAUAGAACUAAUCUCAUAUCACAUGACACAUAUAGUAAGAAUAAGUUACUCUAGGGAUAACAGCAUAAUUUUAAUAGUUUGUGACCUCGAUGUUGGACUAGGUAUUUUAUCCUUAAGACAAGGAUAUAAAAUGCUCUGUUCGAGCAGUGACACCUACAU